UCGUUGGGAUCUUUUCUGCCU
rnacentral:miRNA from 1 species